rnacentral:rRNA from 1 species
UAGGGAAUAUUGCACAAUGGAGGAAACUCUGAUGCAGCGACGCCGCGUGAGUGAUGAAGGACUUCGGUUCGUAAAGCUCUGUCGUAUGGGAAUAAGAAAGUGAAGGUACCAUGCAAGAAAGGAUCGGCUAACUUCGUGCCAGCAGCCGCGGUAAGACGAGGGAUCCUAGCGUUGUUCGGAAUCAUUGGGCGUAAAGCGGGUGUAGGUGGCUCUGUAAGUCAAGUGUGAAAGCCCCGGGCUCAACCUGGGAAGUGCAUUUGAUACUGCGGAGCUUGAGUGCUGGAGAGGUCAUUAGAAUUCCUGGUGUAGUGGUGAAAUACGUAGAUAUCAGGAGGAAUACCAGAGGCGAAGGCGGAUGGCUGGCCAGACACUGACACUCAGACCCGAAAGUGUGGGGAUCAAACAGG